CACGAACUGCGCAAACGAUAUUCGGACUCACUGGGCUUAAAGAGUCCGUAGGCGGCUCGGAAGGUGAGGUGUGAAAUCCCACGGCUCAACCGUGGAAUUGCGCUUCAAACCACCGGGCUUGAGGGAGAUAGAGGAGAGCGGAACUGAUGGUGGAGCGGUGAAAUGCGUUGAUAUCAUCAGGAACACCGGUGGCGAAAGCGGCUCUCUGGGUCUCUUCUGACGCUUAGGGACGAAAGCUAGGGGAGCCAAUGGG
rnacentral:rRNA from 1 species